rnacentral:rRNA from 1 species
GAUGAACGCUAGCGGCAGGCCUAAUACAUGCAAGUCGAGGGAGAUUGUUGGAUUCGUCUGACAUGAAACCGGCGCACGGGUGCGUAACACGUAUGCAACCUACCUUUAACUGGGGUAUAGCUCAGAGAAAUCUGAAUUAAUCCCCCAUAAGACUACGACAUGGCAUCAUGAUGUAGUUAAAGCUCCGGCGGUUAAGGAUGGGCAUGCGGUACAUUAGCUAGUUGGUGAGGUAAUGGCUCACCAAGGCUACGAUGUAUAGGGGGUCUGAGAGGAUGAUCCCCCACACUGGUACUGAGACACGGACCAGACUCCUACGGGAGGCAGCAGUAGGGAAUAUUGGUCAAUGGACGCAAGUCUGAACCAGCCAUGCCGCGUGAAGGAUGAAGGCCCUCUGGGUCGUAAACUUCUUUUAUUAGGGAAGAAACCUCAAGAUGCGUCUUGAGCUGACGGUACUUAAUGAAUAAGGAUCGGCUAACUUCGUGCC